rnacentral:lncRNA from 1 species
AAUUUGUACAAUUGUCUUUAUUUAGACAAUUCUCAUUUCUUAUUAAGAGAGCUGAGAACAGAAAUAAGAGACAAUGUCUAAUAGAAAUUUAGAAAGCAGAAACAGAAACUGAGAGUCCUACCCUUAUCUAUAAGAGAAAUCGUUUCCAAUGGGUUUUCUUUCUCUUAUCCUAUACCCAGUGUUUCUCAGCUGAAAAGAAAUCUUGGUCUCUUCCUUGUGUGAUCCAAAGCCCGUUUAUCAGCUACAAUUCUAGCAUUAGCACCAGGAGAUUGGAGGAGACGCAGAUAACCUUUUAAAGACUGAUACGGAGUUAAAUGCAAUCACUCUCAUCCUUUAAAAACAAGUAAAGGCGUGAAACAAAACAUUAUAAAAUUAUUUGCUUCCUCCUGCACAUAACUUAAAAGUUACCAGCUAACCGCCAGCAUACCACUGACCUUUGGCUUGGAACCAAGGGCUUUAGGGAAAAACUAAAGGUAGACAUAUUUUUAGAACUCAAUAUGAUUAAUUUACAAAAGCCUGAUUUUUUUUUUCCUGAAGACUGAUAAAAUAUGUUCCAAUUUCAAGGACUGAAGGAUAAAACCACAUCUCAGAAUAAUUAAGCUGUUAGUCUUGAUUACAAAUGGAAUGAAGCAAUACUCAUUUCUUGGACUGACUGAGGUGGUAAAUGGCUCUCUUUCUGCUUGUGGAACAAGUGAUGGAAUCACCAAAUUAUAAUUUACAGUUAUAGGUUCCAGAGUUCAUUGUAGCCAACUUCUCUCUUCCAAAUGAGAGAAAGAAAUCCCCCCAAAUUAGUCCUGAUCACACAGGUAAUGUCUGUAUAAACUGAUCCCAGCAU